rnacentral:misc_RNA from 1 species
GUGAAUCAUCAAAUUUUUGAACGCAAAUUGCGCCUUUUUCGAAAGGCAUGUCUGUUUGAGGGUACCAUUUAACAAAUAAUGUGAAGCGGAUUUUGUUGAACACGUUGCUGAGCUUUCCAAGAAUUUUAAAUUUUUGGUGGCGCAUAAUGACCAGCGUGAAGCUUUUUUUUUUAGUUCGAGUGUAGUAAACUAUUUGCUUGGGUUGUGCAAAGCGUAAUCGAGCAAUGGGAGUGGCAA